CAAUAGCGUAUAUUUAAGUUGUUGCAGUUAAAAAGCUCGUAGUUGGAUUUCGGGUGGGACGCAGCGGUCUCGCAUUGCGUUUGUACUGCUGCAGCCCUCCUUCUUGCCGGGGGCGGCCUCUCGGACUUCACUGUCUGGGGGUCGGAAUCGGCGAUGUUACUUUGAGUAAAUUAGAGUGUUCAAAGCAAGCUUACGCUCUGAAUAUAAUAGCAUGGGAUAACACGACAGGACUCUGGCCUAUCGUGUUGGUCUAUAGGACCAGAGUAAUGAUUAAGAGGGACAGUCGGGGGCAUUCGUAUUCCGUUGUCAGAGGUGAAAUUCUUGGAUUUACGGAAGACGAACAUCUGCGAAAGCAUUUGCCAAGGAUGUUUUCAUUGA
rnacentral:rRNA from 1 species